CAUCACUACGCUAGAUGUAUAUCAAUAAGCGGAGGAAAAGAAACUAACAAGGAUUCCCUAGUAACGGCGAGUGAAGCGGGAAGAGCUCAAAUUUGAAAUCUUAAAGGUUUUCCCUUUAACGAAUUGUAGUUUAAAGAAGUGUUUUCUGUUGGAGUUUCGGUAAAAGUUCUUUGGAAUAGGACAUCAUAGAGGGUGAGAAUCCCGUAUUUGACCAUUACUUUCCAGCUGUGUGAUACACUUUCAAAGAGUCGGAUUGUUUGGGAAUGCAGUCCAAGAUGGGUGGUAAAUUUCAUCUAAAGCUAAAUAUUGGCGAGAGACCGAUAGCGAACAAGUACCGUGAGGGAAAGAUGAAAAGAACUUUGAAAAGAGAGUUAAACAGUACGUGAAAUUGUCAAAAGGGAAGCGUUUGACACCAGUGUUGUUUAGUUGAAAAUCAAUUCAAUAAUUUUUGAUUCUGAGUAGUAUUGACUUCAUCAGCUUGCUGCUUUCUUCUCAGGAAAUUAUUGAAUGCACUUUUCAGUUAACAAGUCAACAUCAAUUUCUUUUGUUGUAAAAGGGUAAGAGGAAGGUGGCUUGCGCUUCGGCUCAAGUGUUUAUAGCCUUUUAUCUCUGCAAUCGGAGAGAUUGAGGUCUGCAGCGUAGAUCCUUCGGGGUUAGAUGCAUUUGUGCUAAGUUAUAGCCUUUCAUAGACAACUUGUUGACUAUGAUCAGUCAUGUAGCUUACUCGCUUAUGUCAUUUUACCUACGCUUAGGAUGUUGAUAGUCACAGCGUGUAC
rnacentral:rRNA from 1 species